rnacentral:rRNA from 1 species
GAUGAACGCUGGCGGCGUGCCUAAUACAUGCAAGUCGAGCGAACAGACGAGGAGCUUGCUCCUUUGACGUUAGCGGCGGACGGGUGAGUAACACGUAGGUAACCUACCUAUAAGACUGGGAUAACUUCGGGAAACCGGAGCUAAUACCGGAUAAUAUUUCGAACCGCAUGGUUCGAUAGUGAAAGAUGGCUUUGCUAUCACUUAUAGAUGGACCUGCGCCGUAUUAGCUAGUUGGUAAGGUAACGGCUUACCAAGGCAACGAUACGUAGCCGACCUGAGAGGGUGAUCGGCCACACUGGAACUGAGACACGGUCCAGACUCCUACGGGAGGCAGCAGUAGGGAAUCUUCCGCUAUGGGCGAAAGCCUGACGGAGCAACGCCGCGUGAGUGAUGAAGGUCUUCGGAUCGUAAAACUCUGUUAUUAGGGAAGAACAAACGUGUAAGUAACUGUGCACGUCUUGACGGUACCUAAUCAGAAAGCCACGGCUAACUACGUG